GCCAGGCACAGUGGGGCAUGCCUGUAAUCCCAGGAGCUCAGGAGGCUGAGGCAGGAGGAUCACAAGUUCAAAGCCAGCCUCAAUAACUUAGCGAGGCCCUAAGGAACUCAGUGAUAACCUGUCUCUA
rnacentral:sRNA from 1 species